rnacentral:ncRNA from 1 species
GCAUAGCUUCGGCCCAUGCCCGAAGGUGCUCUUUUGCCGGACAAAUGCCCCGCAGGUGGGGCAAGCAACAUCGGC